CAAGUUUAUGUCUAACUUUUCGGCACAUUUCUUCAGUUGUGGGAGUGACAUAAGAUAUAAUAUGUAAUUAGGUUUUAUUUGUUUCAUAGAAUAAAUAAUUGAUAAUAAAAAAAAAUAGCCAGAUCUUCCACUUAUUCAAUGUACUGUGAUUAGGAGAAGAGGUCAGAAUCAUAAAAAAAUACAUUAUGUCAUAUAAAUCAAGCCAUCUUAUAAAACUUUACUAUACUAUAUAUUUUAACACAUUAACAAAAUUUCAGGUUUCACCUACACCAGGACCUUCACAUGAGCAUAUACAGAAGAAACAACAAGUGGAAAUGGACCAAAAUGCCUUUGUUACUUCACCAUCAAAUUUGCCUCACAAUAAUGAGCUGCAUGGCAUGAUUGAAGCUUCUAUGGAUGAAGCUUCUGUGGAACAUACUGCAAUACUAAAGUCUAUUGCAAGUUCAAAAAAGCAAUUACAGAAUCGCAGACCCAGCAUUUUGAAACCUUUGGGUGUU